GAGGAAUAUUGGUCAAUGGACGAGAGUCUGAACCAGCCAAAUCGCGUGAAGGAAGACUGCCCUACGGGUUGUAAACUUCUUUUGUACAGGAAUAAAAGACAUUACGUGUAAUGUAUUGCAUGUACUGUACGAAUAAGCAUCGGCUAACUCCGUGCCAGCAGCCGCGGUAAUACGGAGGAUGCGAGCGUUAUCCGGAUUUAUUGGUUUUAAAGGGUGCGCAGGCGGGAUUUUAAGUCAGCGGUGAAAUUUUCAGGCUCAACCUGAACACUGCCGUUGAAACUUGGAUUCUUGAGUAUGGAUGAAGUAGGCGGAAUUCGUUGUGUAGCGGUGACAUGCUUAGAUAUAACGAGGAACUCCGAUUGCGUAGGCAGCUUACUAAGCCAUAACUGACGCUCAAGCACGAAAGCGUGGGGAUCAAA
rnacentral:rRNA from 1 species